AAACUGAUCAACCCAAAGUGUUGCACUUCAACAAAACAGACUAUUAAAUUGCCUGUUGCAACAAUCUAAGCGCAUAAGUCCUGGUUAUGAGGUUGUAUAGGCCAGUGACGUGGACUCGUUCCCAUUAUUUGUGUGUGAACAAAAAAAUAUUAAAAAUUGCCUGGGCAAGGGCUGCCUUGAAAGAUCAAAUGUCCACACCUAGGGACGCCGGGGGGCGGGGGAUGGGGCAAUUGCCCCGGGCACCCACCUUAAAGUGGUCUCAUACAAAAAAAAUUUUCUUCCUAAAAAUGGUC
rnacentral:lncRNA from 1 species